rnacentral:rRNA from 1 species
UACAGAGGGUGCAAGCGUUGUUCGGAAUUACUGGGCGUAAAGCGUGCGCAGGCGGUUUUGUAAGCCAGAUGUGAAAGCCCCGGGCUUAACCUGGGAAUGGCAUUUGGGACUGCAAGGCUUGAGUGCGGCAGAGGAGACUGGAAUUCCUGGUGUAGCAGUGAAAUGCGUAGAUAUCAGGAGGAAUACCGAUGGCGAAGGCAGGUCUCUGGGCUGACACUGACGCUCAUGCACGAAAGCGUGGGGAGCAAACAGG